rnacentral:lncRNA from 1 species
CACUAAAUUACAUCCCACCAACUUAAGCUUCCCUGGAGUGACUCACACAGUGGUUGACUUUUAAAGUUCAUUGAAGGUGAGGGUUCAGGCUAUACAAGGUCAGAGUUUCUCCAUGAAGCAGGACAAACAAAAAUUCAUAAUGCCAGGCUGUUUGACAUUCUUUCUAAAAGGAGAAGGCCACUGGUUUUUCCCUCCCCUAACUCUUUCCUGGAAAAAAAGUAUAGGAAUUAUCCCCAGUGGUGUUGGAAGACAGAAUUUCUGGUGCCUUACUUGUUGCCAGAUAUAAAGAUAGAAAAUUCAUUACUGAUAUAUACUGGAUCACCAGAAGACUGGAUGGUGGCAGGCUGUGAAUCAAAGAAGGCAGGAGGUGAAAUUAUCCGGGGAACCCUAGAAUGACAUAGUGAAGAAAAACCAGAAAAUGAGCAGUGUGGAUCCCACUGCCAAUCUCAGUGCAAGCCUCUGGAAUGAAAUGAAGAAGAAGGCGAUGAAGAUGACUUUUAAUGAAUCAUGUCAGAGUAAUAUCCAAACAGAUGGUGGCUCUCUCCAGGGCCACAACUCCCAACAUCAAAGCCCAAAGAAUCCUCUGACUCCACCCUCCUAGACAGAGACUGCCCUCCCCAAGAUCUACUUUUUACCAAGAAAGCCUGAAGACCAGGGCCUGCAUCCUGCAAUGAGGUGUUCAACAAUGUAUGGAAAAACCAGAAAAAAUAAGAAAAAAUGUGAUUUUUUUUAAAAAAGUAAGCUCCAUACAUCAAUUUGGGAUUCUGACUUUAUUCUGAAAACAUGCUAUUUUUGCACAUUUAAUGUUAAAUUGUUUCAUACUUUAUGAAAAUACAAUAAUAAUUGAAUGUUCUCGAUGCCUGUAUUCAAAAUCAAAAGUUAACGAUCAAAUUUGGGCUUUUAAGUUGAAGUAAAAAAUACAUACUGCUUUGCAAAAUUCAUGUAUCUGCCACAGCACCUGUUCACACUUAUUACAAAUGCUUUUAUAAAUGAGUGUCUCUCUAGACUCCAGGGCCUGUGACAGUAGGGAUCAUCCUUAUUCAUCUGGACAUGAGGAUCUAUUGUAGUGCUUGUUUAAAGAAUAUUCUCUGCAGAAUGCAUGGAGAGAAGAAAGGUAGCAAAAAGGUCAGAAGACUAAGAAAUAUUUUAUAGAAAUAUUUUCUUUUAAUCUUUUCUUCUCAGUGUAAUUUUAAGAAAUGUAAAAGGCUCCUUCCCAAAACAAU